rfam:Oryza meridionalis cultivar OR44 (W2112) chromosome 3, whole genome shotgun sequence.
UUCAAGUACAAUCAUAAAUUUUCGUGCCCAGCUUUAAUCGUCUGUUUUAUUUAAAAAACUUUUUAUAGUUAGUUUUUUUUGUUGUUAUGAGAUGAUAAGACAUGAAUAAUACUUUACUCUUUUUAAUUUUUUUUUAAAAAAAUUAAAUAAAUGGACGAUUAAAGUUGGACGCGGAAAACCAUGGCUGCAUUUAAA